rnacentral:rRNA from 1 species
GGACUACCGGGGUUUCUAAUCCUGUUUGCUCCCCUUGCUCUCGCGCCUCAGCGUCAGGUAAUAGCUAGAAAACCGCUUUCGCCACAGGUGUUCUUCCACAUAUCUACGCAUUUCACCGCUACACGUGGAAUUCCGUUUUCUCCGCCAUCCCUCUAGUCUCGUAGUUUCAAAUGCAGCACCAAAGUUGAGCUUUGGUAUUUCACAUCUGACUUACGAAACCGCCUACGCGCCCUUUACGCCCAAUAAAUCCGAUUAAUGCUUGCACCCUCCGUAUUACCGCGGCUGCUGGCAC